AUUGAACGCUGGCGGCAGGCUUAACACAUGCAAGUCGAGCGGAGAUGAGGUGCUUGCACCUUAUCUUAGCGGCGGACGGGUGAGUAAUGCUUAGGAAUCUGCCUAUUAGUGGGGGACCACAUUCCGAAAGGAAUGCUAAUACCGCAUACGUCCUACGGGAGAAAGCAGGGGAUCUUCGGACCUUGCGCUAAUAGAUGAGCCUAAGUCGGAUUAGCGAGUUGGUGGGGUAAAGGCCUACCAAGGCGGCGAUCGGUAGCGGGUCUGAGAGGAUGGUCAGCCACACUGGGAGUGAGACACGGCCCAGACUCCUACGGGAGGCAGCAGUGGGGAAUAUUGGACAAUGGGGGAAACCCUGAUCCAGCCAUGCCGCGUGUGUGAAGAAGGCCUUAUGGUUGUAAAGCACUUUAAGCGAGGAGGAGGCUACUGAGACUAAUACUCUUGGAUAGUGGACGUUACUCGCAGAAUAAGCACCGGCUAACUCUGUGCCAGCCGCCGCCGUAA
rnacentral:rRNA from 1 species